rnacentral:rRNA from 1 species
GGCCAGAGACCGAUAGCGCACAAGUAGAGUGAUCGAAAGAUGAAAAGCACUUUGGAAAGAGAGUUAAACAGUACGUGAAAUUGUUGAAAGGGAAGCGCUUGCAAUCAGACUUGCGCCUAGUUGAUCAUCCGGGCUUCUGCGCUGCACUCGAUUAGGCUCAGGCCAGCAUCGGUUUGGGUGGUUGGAUAAAGGCUUGGGGAACGUAGCCUCCUUCGGGGGGUGUUAUAGCCCAGGUGCAAUGCAGCCUACCUGGACCGAGGACCGCGCUUCGGCUAGGAUGCUGG